UGGCGAUUAAAAAUUAAUUAGGCUUCUAAAGUCUAACAAUGAUGCAUACGGAAAAUCAAUGGUUUAAAUUUCUUAAUAUGAGCCA